rnacentral:tRNA from 1 species
GGUGGCCGAGUAGGCGGCGAGUUGUAGCCUCGUGUACGGGCAAGAGUGCCCCCCAACCA